GGCUCAAUGGUCUAGUGGUAUGAUUCCUGCUUCGGGCUUUUCAACCCUUCCAUUAAACAUGGGAAUGCAGGAGGCCCCGGGUUCGAAUCCCGGUUGAGCCC